ensembl:lncRNA
CACACACUCAGUCAGUCAGUCAGCUCUAUAUCCGCGGUGUUUGACCGUAAUCCCGUCAUUUAUUUCCGGUGAACACUCGGACUUUAUCCCAUUUCAACUCCACAAAACUCAAGGCGACUUCAGAAGAAUGAACCAAUCACAGCCGACUAGCGUCAGGACGAACCAAUCACAGCCGGCUAGCGGCAGGAUGAACCAAUCACAGUCGGGAGGUGUUUGUAAUUUGAGUGUUUACACACGUUAAAUCGAAACUCGUCGUUAGAGUUUGUCCUGUGGUCAGACCACAUUUCUGAACUCUGAACCGAAGCUGACUUCUGUCUUAUUUAUCGUCUUCAGCUCAGCCUCCUUCUGAUGGAGAGUUUAUAAAGAGCAGCAGACUUCACUCUUCUCACAGUCAUGGACUUCUCUGCACAGGAAUAAAAUACUUUUAAGAGUAUCCAGAUCCAUGGGUGCCCAGGUUUCAGUCGUCAAUCAGACUCCUUACACCUGGUGCUUUGACACUCAGGACAAAAGAGGGUAUAAACGCAUCGCUCCUGGAUGCACAACAUCCUACGACGAGUCUCUGGCAAUCCAUCGCUACAUCUACAUCAGAUAUGAAAAUCACUCGUGGAAUAGUUUUUCAUACGAGUUUAACACCCAUAAAGGUGACACAUCUUUUAUCCUAAAAGAAGCCCUCGACCGUUCCCAGAUUCAGUUGCACUGCACCUCUGAAGGCGGCACUCGUUACUGUCCCAACUACAGAAGAAUUAAAGAAGAUGAAAACCGGAGACAGCAAGAGGAGGAGAGAAGACGUCUGGAACGGGAGUAAACAAGCACCCCCUGUUGUCCGUUGUAAUAUUUGUUGUUCUAGGGACAAAAAAAAAGUGUAGGUUCUCUUGCAGCUGGUCUGCAACCACAUGUAAGAAAUCUUGGGUAACAUUUGAUUUGUCACUAAACUUCACCAGCCAGUUUCAAAUCGGUUUUUAAAACCUCUUAACAGCAUUCACCAGCAAAGAUCACCAGCGGCCUCGGAUUAUUGCUGUUUCACAUUCACAGCAUAUUAAAACACACUAUUAUUUGAUCCGGAAAUACUGUGUGUCUUUAAAAAGAUGAAAAGUGUCGAAAGUUUUCAGAUUUUAUCCUGUUUAAUGUGUUUGUACUUUUUAUAUGCUUAAAGGAUUAGUUCACCCAAAAAUGAAAAUUCUGUCAUUAAUUACUCACCCUCAUGUCAUUCUAAACCCGUAAGACCUCUGUUCAUCUUCGAAACACAAAUUAAGAUAUUUUUGAUACAUUCUAACAGCUCUCUGAUCCUCCCAUAGACAGCAAUGUAAUUUCCACAAUCAAGGUCCAUCUGUGACACACAGAUAUGUUUGCUACGUUGUUUACGCAUUGAUUGGAAAGAAAACAAUGUAUCCGUGUGACACAGCUUACACAGAAUAUAAUACGCUGUUUGCGUUCAUUGGAUACUCUCCAAAAUGACACCAGGGUGACGUGGAGGAGACGAAUUGUUGAAUAAAGUUAUUUUUGUUUUCUUCGCGUACA